rnacentral:rRNA from 1 species
UGUAUAAGAAAAGGUGGCCUCUGAAGAUGCUACCGAUUAUGGAUGGACCCGCGUCUGAUUAGCUAGUUGGUGGGGUAAAGGCCUACCAAGGCGACGAUCAGUAGCCGGCCUGAGAGGGUGAACGGCCACACUGGGACUGAGACACGGCCCAGACUCCUACGGGAGGCAGCAGUGGGGAGUAUUGCGCAAUGGACGAAAGUCUGACGGAGCAACGCCGCGUGUAUGAUGAAGGUCUUCGGAUUGUAAAGUACUGUCUUUGGGGAAGAACGGUGGGUUUGAGAAUAUUGAGUCCACAUGACGGUACCCAAGGAGGAAGCCCCGGCUAACUACGUGCCAGCAGCCGCGGUAAUACGUAGGGGGCAAGCGUUGUCCGGAAUUAUUGGGCGUAAAGGGCGCGUAGGCGGAUGCUUAAGUCCGGUGUGAAAGAUCAGGGCUCAACCCUGAGAGUGCAUCGGAAACUGGGUAUCUUGAGGACAGGAGAGGAAAGUGGAAUUCCACGUGUAGCGGUGAAAUGCGUAGAUAUGUGGAGGAACACCAGUGGCGAAGGCGACUUUCUGGACUGUAACUGGCGCUGAGGCGCGAAAGCGUGGGGAGCAAACAGGAUUAGAUACCCUGGUAGUCCACGCCGUAAACGAUGAGUGCUAGGUGUAGAGGGUAUCGACCCCUUCUGUGCCGCAGUUAACACAAUAAGCACUCCGCCUGGGGAGUACGGCCGCAAGGUUGAUAACUCAAAGGAAUUGACGGAAUCGAAUU